rnacentral:rRNA from 1 species
ACUCCUACGGGAGGCAGCAGUGGGGAAUAUUGCACAAUGGGCGAAAGCCUGAUGCAGCAACGCCGCGUGAGGGACGACGGCCUUCGGGUUGUAAACCUCUUUUAGUAGGGAAGAAGCGAAAGUGACGGUACCUGCAGAAAAAGCACCGGCUAACUACGUGCCAGCAGCCGCGGUAAUACGUAGGGUGCAAGCGUUGUCCGGAAUUAUUGGGCGUAAAGAGCUCGUAGGCGGUUUGUCGCGUCUGCUGUGAAAACCCGAGGCUCAACCUCGGGCCUGCAGUGGGUACGGGCAGACUAGAGUGCGGUAGGGGAGAUUGGAAUUCCUGGUGUAGCGGUGGAAUGCGCAGAUAUCAGGAGGAACACCGAUGGCGAAGGCAGAUCUCUGGGCCGUAACUGACGCUGAGGGGCGAAAGCAUGGGGAGCGAACAGGAUUAGAUACCCUGGUAGUCCAUGCCGUAAACGUUGGGAACUAGAUGUAGGGGCCAUUCCACGGUUUCUGUGUCGCAGCUAACGCAUUAAGUUCCCCGCCUGGGGAGUACGGCCGCAAGGCUAAAACUCAAAGGAAUUGACGGGGGCCCGCACAAGCGGCGGAGCAUGCGGAUUAAUUCGAUGCAACGCGAAGAACCUUACCAAGGCUUGACAUAUACCGGAAAUGGCUGGAAACAGUCCCCCCGCAAGGUCGGUAUACAGGUGGUGCAUGGUUGUCGUCAGCUCGUGUCGUGAGAUGUUGGGUUAAGUCCCGCAACGAGCGCAACCCUCGUUCUAUGUUGCCAGCACGUUAUGGUGGGAACUCAUAGGAGACUGCCGGGGUCAACUCGGA